rnacentral:rRNA from 1 species
GACGAACCGUGCGAACGUUAUUCGGAAUCACUGGGCUUAAAGCGCGUGUAGGCGGCCCGGCACGUCAGUCGCUGAAAUCCCCCGGCUCAACCGGGGAAGUGGCGUUGAUACGACCGGGCUGGAGGGGGGUAGGGGGGACGGGAACUCACGGUGGAGCGGUGAAAUGCGUUGAGAUCGUGAGGAACGCCCGCGGCGAAAGCGCGUCCCUGGACCACACCUGACGCUGAGACGCGAAAGCCAGGGGAGCGAACGGG